GUGCCAGCAGCCGCGGUAACACGUAGGGUCCGAGCGUUGUCCGGAUUUAUUGGGCGUAAAGGGCCCGUAGGCGGCUUGAUAAGUCGGGUGUGAAAACUCCAGGCUCAACCUGGAGACGCCACCCGAUACUGUCAUGGCUUGAGUCUGGUAGGGGAGUGCGGAAUUCCUGGUGUAGCGGUGAAAUGCAUAGAUAUCAGGAGGAACACCGGUGGCGAAGGCGGCACUCUGGGCCAGUACUGACGCUGAUGGGCGAAAGCGUGGGGAGCAAACAGGAUUAGAAACCCCUGUAGUCC
rnacentral:rRNA from 1 species